rnacentral:rRNA from 1 species
AGCAGCCGCGGUAAUUCCAGCUCCAAUAGCGUAUAUUAAAGUUGUUGCAGUUAAAAAGCUCGUAGUUGAAUUUCGAGACCGGUUUACUGGUCGUGCUUUUGUACGUACUGGUAUAAUCGGUUUCUCUUUUCUGACGAACUAUAAUGCCAUUAAUUUGGUGUUAUAGGGAAUCAGGACUGUUACUUUGAAAAAAUUAGAGUGUUUAAAGCAGGCUCACGCUUGAAUACAUUAGCAUGGAAUAAUGAAAUAGGACGUUUGAUUCUAUUUUGUUGGUUUCUAGGAUCGACGUAAUGAUUAAUAGGGAUAGUUGGGGGCAUUAGUAUUCAAUUGUCAGAGGUGAAAUUCUUGGAUUUAUUGAAGACUAACUACUGCGAAAGCAUUUG